rnacentral:rRNA from 1 species
UACGGAGGGUCCAAGCGUUGUCCGGAUUUAUUGGGUUUAAAGGGUGCGUAGGUGGAACUGUAAGUCUGGUUUGAAAGCAGGUGGCUUAACCAUCUAAUGUGGCUGGAAACUGUGGUUCUUGAAUGAUUUGGCGGUAGCCGGGAACGGGGUCAUGUAGCGGUGAAAUGCAUAGAUAUGACCCAGAACACCGAUUGCGAAGGCAGGCUACUACGAGUUGAUUGACACUGAGGCACGAGAGCAUGGGUAGCGAACAGG